GACCAUGAAGAGUGUGAUCUCCCGCCCUCCCCUCCUCCUCUGCUCCGCUGCUGUACCUGAGGUGGGGGCAGUUUGGUCCCUGGUCCCCCAGCUGGAUGCCGCCGCACUCCCCGCUGAUUACCCUCUUCUCCCUCCUCGACCAUGCGGCCGCCCCCUCAGCGUUUUCCGCUCCCCCCUGGCCGCAUCCUGAGACUUCAUGCUGGCGAACUAUAACCCCCCGGCCUGACAGCGCUGCUGGCUGCUCACAGUGUCCAUGUGUUCAUACAGACUGUAGGUGAAAAGGUGAAAUAAACACAAACAAAGGUCCUCCAACAGGAUGAUGACCAAAAACACAGCUACUGUAGAAGCCCACAAGAUUGGAUAAAGACUGUUCUGAAGUGGCUUCUAUGAGCACCGAUCUGAAUCUAUGGGACAUCUAUGGAAAGAGCUGAAGACGAGAAGGCACCCAACACACCUGAGACUACUGAAGCUUUGCUCAAGAAGAGUGACCCAAACUACCUGCUGACAGGUGCAGAGGUCUCACUGAGAACUACAGAAAUGACAUGAUUGCAGUGAUUGCCUCUAAAGCACAGGUUCUCAAACUCGGUCCUCAGGACCCCACACGGUGCAUGUUUUGCAGGUCUCCUCACAGAAUCACAAGUGACAUAAUUAGCUCCACCUGUGGACAUUUUAAAAUGUGUCAGUGAGUAAUGAAUACAC